AGAAAACGUGAUUAUGCAUUGAAUUAAACCAAGCAAAAUGAUAUUAUUGGGGGUUUUUUUUAGUGUUGAAAGUUACCUGCAGAUUUUCCUUUCCAUCUUUACAGAGAAUUUUUAAUUUGGUGGUACCCCCUGAAAGUGGCUGUGAUACACCGUUCAAUGAAAAAGCAGAAUAGAAAAUUGUGAUUGCACCUGAAUUUCUAUUAUCAAUUUAGAAUGCAUUUGACUGGCCUUGGGGAACAGAAAACCCAUGAAGCAGAACUGAGCACUAGCUCACAGGCAUUAAAGUUGGAAAGACUUCUUCCUUACAGGAAAUAACCCGCAAAUGAAAUCACAAGACACAGUUGCUCUCCUUGGUGAGCUCUUGGAAGGGCGGAAGGUUCCUGGUCCAUCCAUUACCAUGAUUUGUGUCAAUUGUUGGUCUUAUGGAUGCUCCCACCGUGGGGAGGAAACCACGGGCUGACGACAAAGGCUGUCUGACUUCCCAGUUUCACUCCAGGAGACCCACAUCACACGAGCCUCCUCUUGAUGCUGUAGACAUAGUCAAGAGGUGGUCGCCUGUGUCUUCUUCACAUCCAUCUGCUGGGGAACAGGACUCUCUUUCCUGCUCUGCAGGGUGGAAAAUACCAUCACCCGCGUCGCUCCCUUGGAGAUGGGUCCCACACUCCAGGCAGGUCAGCAUGGACACAAGAGCUCCCUGGCUGCGAGUGGCUGCCUGUUUUCAGUAGAGGUCUUCAGCCAGCACUUUCUCCUGCAGGGUAGCACUGAGCUUUCUUCCAGUUCAUGGCUCUGGAAGGCACCACAAGUUCUUUUUGGCACAUUUUCCACCUUCCUCCUCCCCUCCCACUCCUCCCUCUCUCUCCUCACCCCACACAGAUCCUUUGCUGAUUGACUGCCAUCGCCAGGCUUCCAUACCAGGGAAUCAAUCAAAAGAGGCCUUCCCACACAGAACAGCCCCCGCCCCUCCACCAGGCUGCUGCCUCUGACAUUUCCUGCGUGCCUGGACUUAGCUUGUUUGGAAGGCUCCAGACUCCUCCUAUCAAUCUGGGCACUCAGGGCUCUGGCAGCUGCUGCCGCUCUGAAUGCUGACACCCUGCCACGUCAACACUGGCCGGGCCGAUGUUCCUUCACACUCAUCUGCUGAGCCCAAACUUCCCCUGCUGGCUGGCUCUCCCUGUUUGAAUGGGCUCCCAGUCAGAAAGGGCUCCCUGUAGCCUUAGCUCCUUGAAGCUUGCCUCUUGCAGCCUUCCGGCUGGAGGAUGUGGAUGUUGGAUCAGCUCAGUGGUCCUUGGUUCACAAAAAAUAAAUUCAGUUCAAUGUGGCCUCUCCCGAACCCCCUCAAACAGCCUUCCUUCAGAUUGUGCCUGCUGGCCUUGGCAUUGUCCUUCUGACUUGAUUUUUCAGACUGUCUUUCCUCUUUUCUGUGAGAAUAUCAUAGGGCUCAAGGACCUGAAGGAAUUGGUGCAUGUAUUUCAUUUGAACUCUGCUGAAGCUUUUUAUUUUAAGCCAAGUUCUUCCUCUGCUGUCUAGAAAAAAAAAAAAA